CCUACGGGCGGCAGCAGUGAGGAAUAUUGGUCAAUGGACGAGAGUCUGAACCAGCCAAGUAGCGUGAAGGAUGACUGCCCUAUGGGUUGUAAACUUCUUUUAUAAAGGAAUAAAACGAGGCACGUGUGCCUUUUUGCAUGUACUUUAUGAAUAAGGAUCGGCUAACUCAGUGCCAGCAGCCGCGGUAAUACGGAGGAUCCGAGCGUUAUCCGGAUUUAUUGGGUUUAAAGGGAGCGUAGAUGGGUUGUUAAGUCAGUUGUGAAAGUUUGCGGAUCAACCGUAAAAUUGCAAUUGAUACUGGCAGUCUUGAGGACAGUUGAGGUAGGCGGAAUUCGUGGUGUAGCGGUGAAAUGCUUAGAGAUUACGAAGAACCCCGAUUGCGAAGGCAGCUUACUAAACUGUGACUGACAUUGAUGCUCGAAAGUGUGGGUAGCAAACAGGAUUAGAUACCCCUGUAGUC
rnacentral:rRNA from 1 species